UACGUAGGUGGCAAGCGUUGUCCGGAUUUACUGGGCGUAAAGAGCGCGCAGGCGAUCGUGCAAGUCGCGUGUGAAAGCCCCCGGCUCAACUGGGGAGGGUCACGCGAUACUGCUCGACUCGAAGGCAGGAGAGGGAAGUGGAAUUCCCGGUGUAGUGGUGAAAUGCGUAGAUAUCGGGAGGAACACCAGUGGCGAAGGCGACUUCCUGGCCUGUUCUUGACGCUGAGGCGCGAAAGCUAGGGUAGCAAACGGG
rnacentral:rRNA from 1 species